GACGAACGCUGGCGGCGUGCUUAACACAUGCAAGUCGAACGGAAAGGCCCUGCUUUUGUGGGGUGCUCGAGUGGCGAACGGGUGAGUAACACGUGAGUAACCUGCCCUUGACUUUGGGAUAACUUCAGGAAACUGGGGCUAAUACCGGAUAGGAGCUCCUGCUGCAUGGUGGGGGUUGGAAAGUUUCGGCGGUUGGGGAUGGACUCGCGGCUUAUCAGCUUGUUGGUGGGGUAGUGGCUUACCAAGGCUUUGACGGGUAGCCGGCCUGAGAGGGUGACCGGCCACAUGGGGCUGAAGAGCGGGCCCAGUCCCCAACGGGGGGAAACGGGGGGAAAUAUGACAGAAGGGGGGGGAGCCGGUGAGGGCAGCGCCGCGGGCGGAAGGACGGCUUUCGGGUUGAAAACCGCUUUGGCCUGAAACAAGGGGGGAGGGAGGGUAAGGGAUAAGAAAGCCCCGGCUAAUUACGUG
rnacentral:rRNA from 1 species